ACCUGAAUGAUUCGUGGAAAUUAGAAUGUGGGGAUCUCAAAGAAUGUUUCACAAGAAAAACAAAUAUUGGCCAUUUCCAAACUUGCUCGGUGGUCGAGGUACUAUAGAGGACAUCAGUAGAAUGAAAGCAAGAGCAACCUGACAACAUUAUUGAUAGUCAACUUCCAUUAUCAGCAGCUUCACACGUGUAUAUCUUUCUUUUGGAAAUGGAAGUUGCUGUUUCUUCCCAGGUGAGCUGAGAACUAGGAAGGUGCGGAUAAUAAGAGUUGUUGACAGAGGCAACCUGCACAUGUGUAAACAGUGGCUAUGGUGGCUCAAAGGGAAGCAGCGGCUGCUCCAUGGAAACACGCAACUUAGUGAUCUAAGAUCAAUCUUCCUAUUCAUUCAUUGCACGCUGUUAUUCUGUAGGACCGGCGAAGUGC